AUCAACCUGUCAGAAUCAGAACAUCUUUGUUAGAGCAUGUAAAAAAUUGUUUCUUACGAAAUAAAAAUGUGUCAUCCCAAGUUUUGUGCAAAACUAAAAAAAAUAUUUUUUUUACACUAGGGCUUAAAUGACAUUUUCAGAGAUGCGUGGCUCUGAGUGCUGAAUGGUCACAGUCUGAUUUCUGGGGUGUGUUUCAUCAAAAAGAGUUGCCACCUGGAAAUCCUUGAAGGAAGGGCUCACCUCCGAGGUGCCAUGUCCCAUUUCAGGGAGCUAAUAAGCAGGUGGUCUCAAAUGACUGGGAACACCACUGCCAUAUAACAGCCACAGAAAAUGCCAAAGAAGAUGGAAUAAGUCAUGAGUAGAGGAAAUGUGGUGGCUAAAGGACAAAGCAGGUUAGUGAUGCCACAGAGGAUGAGGUAAGAUUUGUAGAAGUUGUAUCUCUUGAUCCAGUUUUGAUCAGCAGCCCAUCCAGACAGUGGCUGCAUGACUGUCUCUGUGAUACCUGGAGAGGCAUGGGAAAAAAUCCACAUGAAAGCCUGGACCCAAUUUCCUCAUCUCCUUUGAAGUGAGUGACCACCUGAAACAUCUUUGCAGAUAGUGUUUGGCUCAGUCUUUGGGCCAGGUGAGUAAUGUAACAGCUUACUGGGCAGUGAGCCCCUGAGAACAAAUUAGUUUUACUUGUUUUUCCAUUCCUAUCUAGCUUUCACGUAGCUGCCCUAAGCACGGCCCAAUGAAAUCUAUUAAGAGGAACACCUCGAAAUUGAUCGAUAGUCACUUCUCAUCACCUCUAAAAGGACUCGGGGCUGCAAAAUUUAGGGAUGCCUCAGGAUACCCAUUAGCUCCCUUUAACCUAGCCUUCCCGCCCCAAAGGGAUCCUCUCUGUAGAGGAAGACGCGGAAGCAGGACUCUGGGGAAACUCGUAGAACCUUCAAGUCAGUAUCCUGUUGGGCUCGGGGGGGGAUGUGAGAUGGAAAGGCUGUUAACGUAUCAUUAAUAAAGUUUUAUAAAAAGGAAAA